rnacentral:rRNA from 1 species
AGAGUUUGAUCCUGGCUCAGGACGAACGCUGGCGGCGUGCCUAAUACAUGCAAGUCGAGCGGACUUAAAAAGCUUGCUUUUUAAGUUAGCGGCGGACGGGUGAGUAACACGUGGGCAACCUGCCUGUAAGACUGGGAUAACUUCGGGAAACCGGAGCUAAUACCGGAUAAUCCUUUUCUACCCAUGUAGAAAAGCUGAAAGACGGUUUACGCUGUCACUUACAGAUGGGCCCGCGGCGCAUUAGCUAGUUGGUGAGGUAACGGCUCACCAAGGCGACGAUGCGUAGCCGACCUGAGAGGGUGAUCGGCCACACUGGGACUGAGACACGGCCCAGACUCCUACGGGAGGCAGCAGUAGGGAAUCUUCCGCAAUGGACGAAAGUCUGACGGAGCAGCGCCGCGUGAGUGAUGAAGGUUUUCGGAUCGUAAAACUCUGUUGUUAGGGAAGAACAAGUACGAGAGUAACUGCUCGUACCUUGACGGUACCUAACCAGAAAGCCACGGCUAACUACGUGCCAGCAGCCGCGGUAAUACGUAGGUGGCAAGCGUUGUCCGGAAUUAUUGGGCGUAAAGCGCGCGCAGGCGGUCCUUUAAGUCUGAUGUGAAAGCCCACGGCUCAACCGUGGAGGGUCAUUGGAAACUGGGGGACUUGAGUGCAGAAGAGAAGAGUGGAAUUCCACGUGUAGCGGUGAAAUGCGUAGAGAUGUGGAGGAACACCAGUGGCGAAGGCGACUCUUUGGUCUGUAACUGACGCUGAGGCGCGAAAGCGUGGGGAGCAAACAGGAUUAGAUACCCUGGUAGUCCACGCCGUAAACGAUGAGUGCUAAGUGUUAGAGGGUUUCCGCCCUUUAGUGCUGCAGCAAACGCAUUAAGCACUCCGCCUGGGGAGUGCGGCCGCAAGGCUGAACUCAAAGGAAUUGAC